GCCCUCUGCCCUUAGACCCUCACACCCUCCAACUCCCCCGAAAAAAACCCUGUAACGGAGGGAGAAUGACAUCGGAUUUUGAAGGUUAUUCUGGACCACAUACGAUACUAUGACGUUUUUGUGACAUUCUGGACAAGACCCCAACCCCCGGGCCACCCUCCAUCCCUGUUGCACCAUCUCGUCUCAUUGCUGCCAUCAUAUACCCUUCUCCCAAACUCGACCCAUCCUCCCUGACAGACUGUAGAUUUCACCAUUCAACUGUCUUCAGCUCCACCAUCUGCCUGACUUCAAGAAGCACCAUCGAGUCUUUUCUGACCAACAGCACCUCAGUGUAGCAAGCCAGCUGCACACCCGCAGAGAGUUACACACUCCAUUGUGUGGUGAUGGCGGAUCAGUGCUCCAUGGACCGGACAAUAUCUACUCCAACAAACUUAAAAAAAAAAGCCCACAGGUUCCUGAGAGACGUCACACACCCUGGCCACUCCAUGUUUGAAAGGGUACCAUCUGUCAGGAGGUUAAGGACAAUCAAAGCCAAGACAAACCGACUGAGACAGACUUUAAACCAAAGUUGUGUCCUACAUUGCCCCACCCCUAAUAUAAGUCAGUAUCAUAUAUGCAC